UACGUUCCCGGGUCUUGUACACACCGCCCGUCACACCACGAAAGCUGGUAAUACCCGAAGCCGGUGGCCUAACCCGUAAGGGAGGGAGCCGUCGAAGGUAGGAUCGGUGAUUGGGGUG
rnacentral:rRNA from 1 species